UUCCUCUUUUUAUUAUUGAUUACAGAGAAACUUUAUCUAAAUAAACCUCCAAUUGACAACCUUCUCACAUCCUCAUGGCCUCCCCGCCGCCUACGCCACGCGCUUCGUCGUCGCCGGUGCCAACUUCGGCUGCGGCUCCUCCCGUGAGCACGCCCCCGUCAAACCUUCAUCACCCUCUUCCUUCUCAGUUGAAAAAUAUAGAUUCAAGACAAGUUAUGAUUGUAAUACGGCAAGAACGAUUUGGAAUAAGAUUUGCGUGGAUCGAUUUUCUGAUGCUUUGGCUAGAGCAAGGGAAAAGGCAAAACAAGUUACUGUAUCAGAGAAUGUUGCUGAUUAUAAAGGCCACGGACCAAGAGGAAUGAGAACUGAAAUAUGGGAUGGCUUAGUAGGUAUUUGGAAUACACCAGGGUGGAAGAAUAAGUCUAUUAAAGCCAAAAUGAAUAGAGUUGCCUAGCCUGAAGCCAAUGUGCAUACAGGAGGGGAUCUAGAAGCUUCGAGAAAACCUUGAAAAAGAUGGAUGUAGAGUACAAGCUUCGUGUUACCUAUAGUGAAUUAUACAACAAAUUGCAUAAGACAAAAGAUGGGAAUAUGUCUCUAGCAAAACUUCAUUAAACCUAUGAAAAUGCCGUAACAGAGAAAUAUGGAGAAGGAUAAAUCAUAACAUCUUACAGCUGACUUUACAAGUGGUUGGUGAAAACAAAAAGGGUAGAAUCCACAACAUGGGUAAUAGCUUGGAGCUUAUGAGCGGUUCUCCACAGGGUUCAUCUUCAACAACGGUAGGUCCAUCUUCCACAAAUCCUAUACAAUCCACAGAAGACAUCACUGCAAUAUCUACACGGAAGUCUUACAUGCAAGAGCAGAUGCAAACACAACUGCAGAUAUAGACAAAAUCAUUGCAGACACACAUGCAAACACUAAUGGCGAACAUGCAGCUACAGAUAUAGACACAAAUGCAAUUGCGAAUACAAGCACAAUUGGAGUUCUUAUGAAAAGAGAUAUUGUCUGCCUUCACCACUAUCAGACAAAGAUAAAUGAUAAUGCACUUAAGUUUGAUGAUUGAAUUUCUCUUUUUAUAUGUGUUUUAAGACUCAACAAUGGAUGAAACUUGUUGACAAUGUUUAGCUACUUUGUGUUGCAUUUUAAUUGUUAUACACUUUGAUGACAAUAUUUUAUUUAGUUA